UGCAAGUCGCACGGUAUGGCUUUCGGGCUGUGCAGUGGCGGACGGGUGAGUAUCGCGUAGGGAUUUAUCGUUGGGUGGGGGAUAACCGCGGGAAACUGCGGCUAAUACCGCAUGACGCCUGGGGGCCAAAGCCAGCAAUGGUGCCUGACGAGGAGCCUGCGUUCGAUUAGCUAGUUGGUUGGGUAAUGGCUGACCAAGGCGAUGAUCGAUAGCUGGUCUGAGAGGAUGAUCAGCCACACUGGGACUGAGACACGGCCCAGACUCCUACAGGAGGCAGCAGUGGGGAAUAUUGGACAAUGGGCGCAAGCCUGAUCCAGCAAUGCCGCGUGGAUGAAGAAGGUCUUCGGAUUGUAAAGUCCUUUCGGCGGGGACGAUGAUGACGGUACCCGCAGAAGAAGCCCCGGCUAACUUCGUGCCAGCAGCCGCGGUAAUACGAAGGGGGCUAGCGUUGCUCGGAAUGACUGGGCGUAAAGGGCGCGUAGGCGGAUGUUUUAGUCAGGCGUGAAAUUCCUGGGCUUAACCUGGGGGCUGCGUUUGAUACGGGGCAUCUAGAGUGGGGAAGAGGGUCGUGGAAUUCNCAGUGUAGAGGUGAAAUUCGUAGAUAUUGGGAAGAACACCGGUGGCGAAGGCGGCGACCUGGUCCU
rnacentral:rRNA from 1 species